ACAAGCUGCCCUUAUUACUGCCCAGCCUUUCAUAGAUCUUUGCCGAGAGAAGCCUUGGUUGGUUGUCAGGAGCCCCGGAUAGAGCUGAGCCCCCACACUUGGCAGCCAUGUGAACUUGGCCACAGUUUCAGUGAGAAAUGUCCCUGCCCUAUCCUGGUUCCAUGGCCCCUGGCUGGUCAAGCAGAGGCCUUGAGGGGGAAGUAGAGCAGUGCAAGAGGAGACCAAGGCUCAGGACCCAGGAGCAGAAUUUCUUCCUGCAGAGAAGAUGCUGUAGCUAAAGGUCAGCCACACCCUUGCAGGAGAACAGCCAUCACUAGCAGGUGUUACCGGGGCCUUGCUGGCGUGGUUCUGCAUAUCAGAGGCAGAACAUUAACUGAUGGACUCUUCAACAAGCCCGCUGCCCCGCGACUGGCUUGAGGCUUCACACAUAGUGGACCAGGCACCCAGGACCAGUGGAAAGGAUUCCACGCCAGAACUGAGAGGCCUCAGGCUGGAUCCCGGCCCUCACUUUUUACCACAAAGCUUAUAAAGGUGUGACCCUCAUGGAUCAGCUGCGAUAUGCUGUUGCCUUCAGACAAGACAGUCUAAAUAACCAAAAAUCAUUUCAAAACGACUCAGAUUUGUUUCCAUCUGUUCCUCGAACACCUGGAAACCCAUAAUCACCUACCAGGAGCUCUUGAAAUCCUGCUUGUCUCUCUCCCAUUCACCGAAAGGUACAGCACAGGUGCUGUUCUCAAAAACACUUCACUCAAAAGACUUCCCCCAUCCCUGCCCCGUCCCCUGCACACCUCUCGUUUUUCUUCUCCUCUCUCUAUCCUCCCAAGUCUCUAUCCCAACAGAUUCUCCUUGCAGGGAGGAGGAAGGAAAGAGAUGGGAAUUUUCCUUAGUGAUUACAGGCAUGGGGUAGAGUCAAAGCCCUGGUUCCCUUGCCUGCCAAGUAGCAGUAACGGCAAAAUCCACGUCUCAAAGCGUGGAAGGAUCAACGCAGCCAAUGGACAGGGAAGGGAGUUUUCUAUCAGAGCAGAGAAACAGUUUUCUGUGCAUUUUCCUUCCUCUCUGCUGGGGUUGUCCCCAGGUCACCCAGAAGCAUGAACAGAUUCCUGGAUGACAGAAGGAUCUGGAUGCUUGUUCCAACGAGGAGAUACAGCUGGGGGCUGGGAGCAGGAAGAAGUGACAGUAGACAAUGUGUAGGAUGCAAGAGGCAGGUGUGGAGGGAGCAGGGUCCCUAGAGCAGAGGGGACACCCUGGGAUCGACGUGUGGGUUCCCCAAAGUCUAACAAUGGUGGACAACCGUGGACACUCCUUGUGUGAAAAGAGGUGGGCGAGGCAGAAAGAAAAUCUUGCCCUUGACCAAGGUCAAGCUGAACUGAGGGACUGAUCUCUGAGCUGGGGUGACUAGACACAGCCACAGAGACCCUCAUGUGUGACGCAAAGGCUGUGAUUUACCCUUGGCCUGAGGAUCAGUGUUUGUUGUUUUUCUUUUCUGUUGGUAAACUUCAGCUUUAUUGUUGUACGUGCUCCCAGGAGGGGGCAUCCAGUGACUUACAAGACCCUUCUGUGACUUUCUGGAGAGGUCACCCCUGGGCUGACAUCACGGGUGUUCCUGAUUCAAGGCUGUCGUCUGUGACCUUGAGGAGGGAGAUGGGAACAGCAAGGCUUUCAGCCUGAUGGGAGAAUCCUUGUGAGCCUCUGCAGCAAUGGGAUGGGAUCGGCGUUAAGCAUCCCACCUGGGCACAGGUGCAGGGAACAGGUUCAUCUCCCUUCACAGGGCAGGGGAGGAUGAGAAGGGCUCCUCCCGGAUUGGUCCAGAGCCCUGUUGUCCAAAUAAAGGCAGUAGGCUCUUGGUCUUGGCAUCAGCUCUUACCAUCAGGAUGGACAAGGGCUAACCAUCCACAUUUGCUUCCACGCCCCCCUUUUUUGAUAUAAGAAAUAAAACAUUGCCAAUAGAAAGAAAGUCCCCCUGGUUCUUCCUCAGUCCCUACGUCCUCUCCUUCUUCUAAGAUUAUCACUGCUGUAAAUUUGAUGUGUGUGCUCUGGCCCAUUAACAAAUAUAUAUAUAUUACACA